CCAGAUCGUUUACCGUGAAAAAAUUAGAGUGUUCAAAGCAGGCAGAUCCAAUUUUCUGCCACCGAAUACAUUAGCAUGGGAUAAUGGAAUAGGACCCUGUCCUCCUAUUUUCAGUUGGUUUUGGCAGCGCGAGGGGUAGGGUAAUGAUUAAUAGGGAUAGUUGGGGGCAUUAAUAUUUAAUUGUCAGAGGUGAAAUUCUUGGAUUUAUGAAAGAUUAACUUCUGCGAAAGCAUCUGCCAAGGAUGUUUUCAUUAAUCAAGAACGAAAGUUAGGGGAUCGAAGACGAUCAGAUACCGUCGUAGUCUUAACCAUAAACGAUGCCGACCAGCGAUUAGGAGACGUUGAAUACAAAACACCACCAUCGGGCGGUCGUCCUUGGC
rnacentral:rRNA from 1 species